rnacentral:rRNA from 1 species
UGGCUCAGAACGAACGCUGGCGGCGUGCUUAACACAUGCAAGUCGAACGCGGUCCAUCCGGUGGCAACACUGGUGAAGACUGAGUGGCGAACGGGUGAGUAACACGUGAGCAACCUGCCCCGAAGACCGGGAUAAGCCUGGGAAACCGGGUCUAAUACCGGAUGCCCCCACCGGGCCGCAUGACCUGGUGAGGAAAUGGAUUCCGCUUCGGGAGGGGCUCGCGGCCUAUCAGCUUGUUGGUGGGGUAAUGUCUUACCAAGGCGUCGGCGAGUAGCUGGUCUGAGAGGACGAUCAGCCACACUGGGACUUAGUCUCCUCCCAGACGACUACGGGAGGCUGCA